rnacentral:tRNA from 1 species
UCCCUGGUGGCUCAGAUGGUAAAGAAUCCACCUGCAAUGUGGGAGACCUGGGUUCUAUUCCUAGGUAGAGAA